rnacentral:rRNA from 1 species
UACGUAGGUGGCAAGCGUUGUCCGGAUUUAUUGGGUUUAAAGGGUGCGUAGGCGGCUAUUUAAGUCAGCGGUGAAAUAUCUCAGCUUAACUGAGAGGGUGCCAUUGAUACUGGAUAGCUUGAGUACAGACGAGGUAGGCGGAAUUGACGGUGUAGCGGUGAAAUGCAUAGAUAUCGUCAAGAACACCGAUAGUGAAGACAGCUUACUAGGCUGUAACUGACGCUGAGGCACGAAAGUGUGGGGAUCAAACAGG